rnacentral:rRNA from 1 species
UACGUAGGGUGCGAGCGUUAAUCGGAAUUACUGGGCGUAAAGCGUGCGCAGGCGGUUCGUUAAGUUCGAUGUGAAAGCCCCGGGCUCAACCUGGGAACUGCAUUGGAAACUGGCGGGCUUGAGUAUGGCAGAGGGGGGUGGAAUUCCGCGUGUAGCAGUGAAAUGCGUAGAGAUGCGGAGGAACACCGAUGGCGAAGGCAGCCCCCUGGGCCAAUACUGACGCUCAGGCACGAAAGCGUGGGGAGCAAACAGG